GAUGAACGCUGGCGGUGGGCCUAACACAUGCAAGUCGAGCGAACAGACAAGAAGAUUGUUCCUUUGACGGUAGCGGGGGGCGGGCGGGUGAGGCGUAGAUCAGCAACCUAUUUUUCGGGGGGGAUUACGGGAGGACGGAGAUGCUAAUAGCUCAUACUACCAACCGGUUGGAUCAAGGGUGAUUCAUGGCUUUGCUGUUUGAUAUAGACGGAGUUGUGCUGUAUUAGCUAGUUGGUAAGGUAACGGCUCACCAAGGCGACGAUGCGUAGCUGGACUGAGAGGAUGAUCAGCCACACUGGAACUGAGACACGGUCCAGACUCCUACGGGAGGCAGCAGUGGGGAAUAUUGGACAAUGGGCGCAAGCCUGAUCCAGCCAUACCGCGUGGGUGAAGAAGGUCUUCGGGUUGUAAAGCUCUUUUGUUGGGAAAGAAAAGCAGCAGGUUAAUACCCCGCUGUUCUGACGGUACCCAAAGAAUAAGCAACGGCUAACUUCGUG
rnacentral:rRNA from 1 species